GACGAACGCUGGCGGCGUGCCUAAUACAUGCAAGUCGAACGCAGUGGGGACGGGUGAGUAACACGUGGGUGACCUCCCAUCAGGGGGGAUAACACUUGGAAACAGGUGCUAAACGGGUAUUGAUGGAUGGACCCGCGGUGCAUUAGCUAGUUGGUGAGGUAACGGCGUACCAAGGCCACGAUGAAUAGCCGGCCUGAGAGGGUGAUCAGCCACACUGGAACUGAGACACGGCCCAGACUCCUACGGGAGGCAGCAGUAGGGAAUCUUCGGCAAUGGGCGAAAGUCUGACCGAGCAACGCCGCGUGAGUGAAGAAGGUUUUCGGAUCAUAAAGCUCGUUUAUUAGGGAAGCGUUAUCUAACCAGAAAGCCACGGCUAACUACGUGCCAGCCGCCGCGGUAAUAC
rnacentral:rRNA from 1 species